UACGUAGGGGGCAAGCGUUGUCCGGAAUCAUUGGGCGUAAAGCGCGUGUAGGCGGCCUUGUAAGUCCGUUCUGAAAGCCCGGGGCUCAGCCCCGGGAGGCGGAUGGAUACUGCAAGGCUCGAGUACGGAAGAGGCGAGUGGAAUUCCCGGUGUAGCGGUGAAAUGCGCAGAUAUCGGGAGGAACACCAAUGGCGAAGGCAGCUCGCUGGGACGUUACUGACGCUGAGACGCGAAAGCGUGGGGAGCAAACAGG
rnacentral:rRNA from 1 species